AUGCAGGAAUGGAGGAGGUUUUAAGCAAGCAGUGGUUAUGCCCCUGGAAGAAGUUUAAAGAAAUCAAAGAGAUCCUCUAGGCCUGGAAAAAAAAAGUCUUGUGGCUAGAGGCCCAUCCAGGAGGCCCAUGUGCCUCAGCAAACCUUGCCAGUUUUCCCAUCUUGUAACUUUACCUGCAAAGUUCAGAAGAUGGGGAUCUUAAGCCACACGACUGUUUUAUGGCUAGAAACGACGCCAACCAGGAAGCACACCCCUCAGAAAGGUCUGGCAUGACUCCCUUCUUCGGGUCUGUUUUUUGCCUUGUGACCCUUUGUCAAUAGCAGAAUGGAGACACAGCAGCCCUAAGAAGAGGGGGUCGGGAGCACACAGAGGACAUCUCUCAUGCACACAUGCUUGCAAUGAAAACUGUUACCAGAACUCUCCGAAACCCAGGCUUGCACAGAGCCACCACCACCGUAUGCAAAGAACACUUCAACAGAACAGCUACCCUGCAGCAGCCUGUUCAACUUUGGUCGGACUCCACCCUUGUUAUUGAGCCUUGUUGCCAAGGAUAAUUGUUUCAAAACAACUUACAUAACCUUCCCUGUUUUACCUUUGGAAACCCUGGCCCUCUUCCUCUGCCUCCCCCCAAAUGCCUACGACCCAUCACGAGGCACAUAUUCCAGAGUGUAAUCUGCUCAUUCCAAAAUAAAAUCAUUCCAUUUUUGAGA